ensembl:lncRNA
UCACAAACAGACAACCUUUACUGUAACACAGAAAUUGGCUUACAGAGCUGGUUCAGAAAGGCCCAUGCAGUAGAGAACUAUCAAUAAGAUUCAAAACAGACAGAAAGCAUCAAAAAAUAAUCAAUCAUCACUGAGUUUGACUCAGGAAGCAACAGCACUGAUAAGAAUCUGAUCCACUUGUCAAGUCACUACAAUACGGCACACAAAUUCCAAAUCAACGCAAACUGUGUAUCACAAAAAAAUUCAAUAGAUUUUUCAUGAACAUAAAGGAAACAACUAGAAAGCAAAAAUGCUGAAAAAAUAAAGAAUAUGUAUUAUGUUCAUCACUUAUAUAUACUAAAACUGGGAUGCUAAAACGCUGGUCUCGUACCCGCCUCUGGGUCAGGGUCGUCACAGUUGCAGCAGGAUCCUCCUAACAGCAUGAGGAGGAGGAGCUAAGCGCACACUCACACUCAAGAAACGACACAUCCCGCCCCCCUCCUCGUUACCCUGUUUAGUGAGUCGUUCCCUAGUUUGGUGACUCGGUCUGUGUCCUCUCCUCUACGUCUCACGUACCUCCUUUCAGAGCUGCUUUUUUUUUUUUUUGAACUGUGUGAUUUAGUUAGAUAGAGAUAAAAAAUAAAAUAAAAAAAAAGACUGAACAACAGAUUUGUUCCCAGUAAGAGAAGCACAGUCCAUCUCCAAAGAUGAGCCCUCACCCGUCCCCUUUUGCUUUCAACGCAUUCUGUCCAUUCCUCUCAUGUUCUCCGGCCCGUGCGAGCGCUCGUGCACCUCAAUCCCAAUCCGUCACGGGACUGAAGGUUAGACCGCGGUCUGUUGUCCUGCUGCCCAGCUGUCUUGUCUGCGUCCGUGUCUGUCGGGUUCAUACGUCCGUCAGCUGGUCAGUUGCUUUUUAGUUUAUUUUGGUUUCUCUCGAGGCGUUCUCGCGUUUUUUCCGACGGGGUGGGGUGUUUGUGUGCGGCUGUGCUGGUGUCGUCCCGGGCGACGGACAGAAAGAAAGGGCUGGUCUCUGGACCCCCUCAGCUGGGUGAAGGGUGUGCCCCCCCGUCCCGUUGACGCCCUUCCUCCUUUGCUCUCCCUCAGGGGCGGGGUCAGGUGUGGGUGUCUGCACUUGCAUCAGUGGGCGGCUGGCCGACUCACUCCCUGCUCGGGCGAGACUGAUGGUCAGCUCCCUCUCUUGCUCUAUUUUUUUUCCUCAUUCGCUCGCUCCCUCGGCCAGACUCCUAUUAGCGUCUCCUAGGGGACAGAGCAGGGUGUUACUGUGGGUGCUGUCUUCAAGAGUUCAUUUAACACCACCCCCCCACCCCAAAAAAAAAAAAACAUCCAUCCCACGAUCCCGGUCCUUAACUCCACCCAUAUCUGCCCAUCCCCAU